rnacentral:rRNA from 1 species
ACGCUCGACACCUACGGGAGGCAGCAGUGGGGAAUAUUGCACAAUGGGGGAAACCCUGAUGCAGCGACGCCGCGUGAGCGAAGAAGUAUUUCGGUAUGUAAAGCUCUAUCAGCAGGGAAGAUCAUGACGGUACCUGACUAAGAAGCUCCGGCUAAAUACGUGGCAGCAGCCGCGGUAAUCUGAGCGGGCUGGCAAGGC